rnacentral:rRNA from 1 species
GAAUGCUUAACACAUGCAAGUCGAUUCGAUUUACCUUCGGGUAUUGUUGAUGGCGGACGGGUGAGUAACGCGUAAGGAACUUGCCUCUUGGACUGGGACAACUGUUGGAAACGACAGCUAAUACCGGAUAUUAUGAGAUUCUCGCAUGAGAAACUUAUGAAAGCUAUAUGCGCCAAGAGAGAGCCUUGCGUUCCAUUAGCUAGUUGGUGGGGUAAUGGCCCACCAAGGCGACGAUGGAUAGCCGGCCUGAGAGGGUGAACGGCCACAAGGGGACUGAGACACGGCCCUUACUCCUACGGGAGGCAGCAGUGGGGGAAUAUUGGACAAUGGACCAAAAGUCUGAUCCAGCAAUUAUGAAUGCACGAUGAAGGUCUUCGGAUUGUAAAGUGCUUUCAGUUGGGAAGAAGAAAGUGACGGUACCAACAGAAGAAGCGACGGCUAAAUACGUGCCAGCAGCCGCGGUAAUACGUAUGUCGCAAGCGUUAUCCGGAUUUAUUGGGCGUAAAGCGCGUCUAGGCGGAAAAAUAAGUCUGAUGUUAAAAUGCGGGGCUCAACUCCGUAUUGCGUUGGAAACUGUUUUUCUAGAGUACUGGAGAGGUGGGCGGAACUACAAGUGUAGAGGUGAAAUUCGUAGAUAUUUGUAGGAAUGCCGAUGGAGAAGUCAGCUCACUGGACAGAUACUGACGCUGAAGCGCGAAAGCGUGGGGAGCAAACAGGAUUAGAUACCCUGGUAGUCCACGCCGUAAACGA